UAUUUUUUUGCUUCUUUUUUCUAAGCAUACUUACCUGUAUAUUGUUAUCAAGAAAUGAGAAGAUUGAUAGUGUUAUUAGUGUUCUUGUUUUGCUAAAUUUUGUAUAUUGUUAUCAAGAAAUGAGAAGAUUGAUAGUGUUAUUAGUGUUCUUGUUUUGCUAAAUUUUGUAUAUUGUUAUCAAGAAAUGAGAAGAUUGAUAGUGUUAUUUGUGUUCUUGUUUUGCUAAAUAUUGUAUAUUGUUAUCAAGAAAUGAGAAGAUUGAUAGUGUUAUUAGUGUUCUUGUUUUGCCAAAUUUUGUAUAUUGUUAUCAAGAAAUGAGAAGAUUGAUAGUGUUAUUAGUGUUCUUGUUUUGCUAAAUUCUGUAUAUUGUUAUCAAGAAAUGAGAGAAUUGAUAGUGUUAUUAGUGUUCUUGUUUUACAAAAUUCUGUAUAUUGUUAUCAAGAAAUG
rnacentral:lncRNA from 1 species